rnacentral:tRNA from 1 species
UGGGCUGUAGCUCAGUGGUAGAGCACUUGCCUAGCACAUGUGAGGCACUGGGUUCAAUUCUCAGCACUACAU